rnacentral:rRNA from 1 species
UACAGAGGGGGCAAGCGUUGUUCGGAAUUACUGGGCGUAAAGGGCGCGUAGGCGGCCUGCUAAGUCGAACGUGAAAUCCCUGGGCUCAACCCAGGAACUGCGUCCGAUACUGGUUGGCUUGAAUCCGGGAGAGGGAUGCGGAAUUCCAGGUGUAGCGGUGAAAUGCGUAGAUAUCUGGAGGAACACCGGUGGCGAAGGCGGCCCUCUGGACGGUGACUGACGCUGAGACGCGAAAGCGUGGGGAGCAAACAGG